GAUGAACGCUGGCGGCGUGCCUAAUACAUGCAAGUCGAGCGAACGGACGAGAAUCUUGCUUCUCUUAUGUUAGCGGCGGACGGGUGAUUAACACGUGGAUAACCUACCUAUAAGACUGGGAUAACUUCGGGAAACCGGAGCUAAUACCGGAUAAUAUUUUGAACCGCAUGGUUCAACAGUGAAAGACGGUCUUGCUGUCACUUAUAGAUGGAUCCGCGCUGCAUUAGCUAGUUGGUAAGGUAACGGCUUACCAAGGCAACGAUGCAUAGCCGACCUGAGAGGGUGAUCAGCCACACUGGAACUGAGACACGGUCCAGACUCCUACGGGAGGCAGCAGUAGGGAAUCUUCCGCAAUGGGCGAAAGCCUGACGGAGCAACGCCGCGUGAGUGAUGAAGGUCUUCGGAUCGUAAAACUCUGUUAGUAGGGAAGAACAUAUGUGUAAGUAACUGUGCACAUCUUGACGGUACCUAAUCAGAAAGCCACGGCUAACUACGUG
rnacentral:rRNA from 1 species